rfam:Gossypium raimondii Chr05_contig_802, whole genome shotgun sequence.
AACCCUUGAUGAGGGCACCUUCUCAAAAGAUCCUUAAAUCUCUCUCAUGCAUCAUACAAUUUCUCUAACUCAAUUUGAGCAAAGGAAGAGAUGUCAUUCCUCAACUU